AAACAUCAUUUCAAAUGCCAUCUAGCGGAAUUUAAGACGCGAUCCAGAAAGGCAGGUGAUCUUCUAGUGGACUGAAAACCUGGCUGGUGGAAGGGCAGUGAAGCACAUGGAGUCCAGCAGAGGGUUUCACCAGCCUCAGCUUGAAAGGAGGUGAUUUGCUGGCAGAAAGCAGACCUGUUCACCAGAGCUUUGCGGGGGGUGAGGGGCAUAACCCCCAACCGAUCUGGAGGUAUUGUUAGUGGCUCCUGCACACCCUGAGCGG
rnacentral:lncRNA from 1 species